GGCGUGGGAUGGAGCAGGAAGUCUUUUCUUACGUGCUCUGGGGCCGAGGAAGAGUGUGUUAGGAGGGGGGUGAAGACCAGGGAGAGUGUGUAAGUACAUGGGUGCGCGCGAGCCGCGAAGGGAGCUGCCAGGGUUGCGCGCCAUUUAGCGUUCCCGCCUCAUUUCAUUUGCGCUCCUGGCCCACGCCCCCCAACCGCCGAGACGAAUCGUUGCGCGUACUCCACCCUGCCUGGACCCCACGCUGCGGGUCGCCGCCCACGUGUCCCGGCCCGGGACAGGACAGCCGCGCGGGACCCACUCAGAGGGAAGUGGAUCAAGUGACGCGCCAGCUGGGCAAGGUCAAGAGCCCUCCCCUCCCUGCGCGAUCCGAGCCUCGCAGCCAAGCCUGUCUGGGAUGCUGUGUCUGGAAACAGCAGCAGUUCCUCAUUUCUUUCCAGCACCUGAAGGAUCUUCCUGGCUUCUUCGUCAUUUAAAAAACUGAAAUCAAACCCCUGAGGAACUUUCGUCAUUUUCUCUGAGUUACGCUUAAGCUCCUUGGCUCCUCCUGUUACGACGGCAUUUUUCAAGACAGAAAAAUGUAGGUCCACGAACCUGAUCCCAUAGCCAACCAGCCCACAGGAAAUAGAAUUCCAAGUCGGAGCUUUUGAACUUGCAGAAGGAUUGCCUUAUGUAAAAGACGGAGAAGGACCAAACUCAUUUCACAGUCGUGUGGGCGGAUCACGCAGAAAGCCUGAAAUUAGCGCAUUUAUCCUUGGGAAAAAAUUCUUUGUCAAACCUCCCAUCCCUCUGACACCCCCCCAGUCCAAUGCCCCACUUUAAAAGUAAGUCUCAGACUUUAGAAAAGAACGUUUACGCUAUAGGUCUCUUGAGGAGAAGACAACCCUGGAGCAAAAGAUUGUAGAAAGCACCUGUGUAAAGUUUUCCUUAACGUUUGAUAAUUUCUGUAAAUAAACUGUUUGAGAAAAGUAAUACAAGUGCCACUUUCAAAUACCUAAUCUGACAAAAGCAAAAUAUCCUAAGAAGCCACAGAAAAAGCUUUUCCUAGAAAGUCAGUUAUUUCAAGAUAUAAUGAAGUAUGACGGAAAUUACCAAAGAUAUUCAUUUAAAUACACCUAAAAAGACUUAUCAGGCUAUCAAAGCCUUUUCCACAAAACAUGUUGCUUCUUUACCCAUGCAAGUAUCCUUGUCAGAUCGAUUUUCAUGCUCCAUUGCCUUAAUUUGGUCACAACUUUUUGUGGUAGUGAUGAUAACUAAUAUUUAAAAUGUACUUCCAUGUGUAUCUUCUUGUAUCAUGGCAAAUAAACCCAAUAAAGGUUUUGUAUCUGUAACCAAAA